UAUCAGGGUGCAUAUUAAUAGAGAUAGAUUCAAGAGAUUUACCAUUUGAUUUUUGCAAAUUCAAUUUCAAAUGUUUAUAUUUUUGUUUGAUAUUAAUUUGAAAUUGUUAUGUUGAGUUACACUACAUAUCAAAAAUAUUGAAGAGUUCUUUUAGGUUAAUACCGGAUCAAGCAGAAUUUAUUUGAUGUACAAGUCAUGUACUGCAGUAUGAUCAAAGCUAUCAGUGUUUAGAGCCAUGUUGUAAAAGUCACACAGAGUUUGCAGAUAUCUAGCACAAAAAAAUUAUACAGCUGUUGUCAUUAUAUAUAAUUCAUUUUAUUGCUAAAUUAAUGUGUUCUUUUGACUUUCAAUAUAUUUUGGACUUUUUAUCAUGUGUAUCUAAUUUUCUAUUUAGCAAGAUAGUAAAGACUUAAUUAUUUUAUAGUUUAAGCCAAGUUUGUUAAAGCAGUAUGCCUCAAGAUUUAUGCAAAUUUUCAUGAAAAUUUUUAAAAUAUGUGUAAACGUAUAAUAAUGUGAAGUGACCAAAAGGAAGCAAUUAGCACCUCAUUAAUUGCACUUACAACUCACGUAAAUUACUAAAAUGAGGUAAAAAUGCAACCAAAAAAAAGCCUUUAAUGUGUUAGUAAUGCAGUAGAAAUAUAGUCAAAAUAUUGAGAAAAAAUCAGUCAUUAACCACAUACAACAUGCCAAUUAUUAUUUAAAUAUUUUUACAUUCCUUAAGUCUAAGUUAUAUUUUUUAAGUUUGAUUUUAUUGAAAUAUUUUGGCUUAUCUGGAGGCAUGUAGCUUAAAUACUGCCACCAUUAAGUCAUAGACUGCACAUUUUUCUCGCCAAAAGCACCAAGCAACAUGAUUUAUGUUCUACCCCUUGUUUUAGUCUUAUUACAUUAAGUACAUUAUGAUGUAGCUUAUUACAUUUUAUACGCCCGUUUGGGGGGGGCGGCGUCCAAUUUUGUCCGGAGCAUAUCUCCUACAUGUAUGGAGGGAUUUUAAUGAAACUUCAUAGAAAUGUUCACCACUAUGAGGAGCAGUGUCGCGCACGUGAACCAGGUCUCUAGGUCAAAGGUCAAGGUCACACUUAGAGCUCAUUGAAAAAUGCUUGUCCGGAGCAAAACUUCCACAUGUAUAGAGGGAUUUCAAUAUUACUUGGCACAAAUGUUCACCAUUGUGAGGCGGAGUGUCGCGCGCAAGAUUCAGGUCCUUGCGGCCAAGGUCAAGGUCACACAUAGAGGUCAAAGUUCAGAUAAAAAUAUGAAGAUGUGUAUAUGGACCAUUUAGUCAUCAUUUAUUGAGGGAUUGUAACACAAAUGGUCAUUAUCAAGACUAUGGCUGUGAUACAUAUAAUUCAGGUCAAUAUAUACAAGGUCAAGGUCACUAAAGAUGAUGAAAUAUCCAGAUUUUGUCCUGAGCAUAUCUCCUACACGCAUGGAGGGAUUUUAAUGAAAUUUCAUAGAAAUGUUCACCAUUAUGAGAAGCCAUGUCACGCACAUGAACUAGGUCUCUAGGUCAAAGGUCACACUUAGAGCUCAUUGAAAAACGCUUGUCUGGAGCAAAACUUCUACAUUCAUAGGGGGAUUUCAAUAUAACUUGGCACAAAUGUUCACCAUUGUGAGGCUGAGUGUCGCACGCAAAAUUCAGAUCCCUGCGACCAAAGUCAAGGUUACAAAUAGAGGUCAAAGUUCAGAUAAAAAUUUAAAGAUGUGUAUAGGGACCAUUUAGUCAUCAUUUAUUGAUGGAUUGUAGCACAAAUGGUAACUAUCAUGACUACAGGUGUGACACAUUUAAUUUAGGUUAAUAUUUGCAAGGUCAAGGUCACUGGAGAUGAUUAAAUAUCCAGAUGUUGUCUGGAGCAUAUUUUCUACAUGCAUGGAGGAAUUUUAAUGUUACUUUAUAGAAUUGUUCACCACCAUGAGACGUAGUGCCCUGCACAUGAACCAAGUCUCUCGGUCAAAGGUGAAGGUCACAGUUAGAGCUCAUAGAAAAACGCUUGUCUGGAGCAAAACUUCUACAUGCAUAGAGGGAUUUCAAUAUAAUUUGGCACAAAUGUUCAUCAUUGUGAGGCUGAGUGCCGUGCAUAAAAUUCAGGUCCCUGCGACCAAGGUCAAGGUCACACAUCCUGUGCAUAUCUUCCCUACUGAUUUGUUUUAAGGUUCAUUUAACAACACAGUGCCAAGAAUAAAAACUUGCUUGCUAGAUAACACUUAUCCAUAAUGCCCCCAUCUCCAUCUAAAGCUUUCGUAAACGGGAGUAUUUUGUGACUAUGGCACCCUUGUUAUGAGUUUAAAAUAUUAUGUGAAAUUUUAAUUUUAUUUUCUAUUUGUUGUAAUGUGAACUUGCUCUAAGUGGUUCUUCUGGUUAUUUUAUUUCAGUGUCAAGUGUGUAGAUCAUUUUCAUUUGUGUAAAUAAUAUGUUGCCUGCUGAACUAAAUAAAAGAGUAAAAGGUU